rnacentral:rRNA from 1 species
UACAGGAGACUGCAAGCGUUAUUCGGAUUCACUGGGCGUAAAGGGUGCGCAGGCGGUUGGGUGUGUCAGAUGUGAAAUCCCGAGGCUUAACCUCGGAACUGCGUCUGAAACUACUCGACUAGAGUACUGGAGAGGGAAACGGAAUUCACGGUGUAGCAGUGAAAUGCGUAGAUAUCGUGAGGAACACCAGAGGCGAAGGCGGUUUCCUGGACAGUUACUGACGCUCAGGCACGAAAGCAUGGGGAGCAAAAGGG